rnacentral:tRNA from 1 species
UCCCUAAUGGCUCAGAUAGUAAAGCGUCUGCCUACAAUGCAGGAGACCAGGGUUCGACCCCUGGGUCGGGAA